GUUUCCGUAGUGUAGCGGUUAUCACGUGCGCCUCACACGCGCAAGGUCCCCGGUUCGACCCCGGGCGGAAACA
rnacentral:tRNA from 1 species